rnacentral:lncRNA from 1 species
CUCGCACACCAUGUGUCCCUCCGCGCGCAGCACGGGGGACUUUUCGGUGGGGAUUUUGGGCGCCGACCAGACGCGGCAUUUUCGGAAAAUAGCGCCCUGUGCAGCUGAAGCGCUUUGUGUGUAGCGGGGCCGCGUCAGCCCGGCCGGGUACGAGGCGCCUCGGGUCCCCGCACCACCUCCUGCUGCCUUCCCGUCGCCGCUCCCGAAGCUUUUCCAGGUCAGUGCGGGUCUGUGUAGGGCCCUGUUACCACCGGAUGUGGAAGUUGAUCUCUUCGCUGGUAAAAAAUAAUUCCACUUCCCCCGGAACCCAGAUCAUCCCCGCGAUUUCCUGUUUAUUGCAUUAAGGCGCCGGGUUUCCGGGGCUCCUGGCCCCGCUUAUUCCGCGGGGGUCGGCGGGGUCGGCCUGGGCGCCCGCGCCGCCGCUGCGCUUUGUCCGCUGGGCACACUGCUUCUGGGAGGGGCGGGCAGACAUGGUGGCGGCCGCCGCCCCCUCCUCGGCCCUAGCAUGCCGCGGCCGCCUCGCGGCUACCCGGCUUGCCGGUCCCGAGCGGCAGCCCCGGGGUGGCGAUGGGGUCGCGCCGAGGCAGCGGAGGUUCUGCGGGCGACUGGAGGUUGGCAGUGGGCGGGAGAAAGAGGAAGGCAGGCGCGGCUGGGCCUCGGCCUCUGGCGCCGCGGUACCCUUUGUCUCGGCAGCCUGACGGCCCCGCCGGGCUCUCCGGAGAGGGGAACGGGCGGCGAGGGUGGCGGGUCCUGGGCGCCCUGUGCUGCGGGGCCGAGAGGCGCUCGGGUCGCGGCGGGAUCGGCCGGACCAGACAGGGUUAAUGGAAGAGCCUGGCCAGUCCCGCGCGGGGCCCCCGCAGCGACAGCCUUGGCCGCGGGGACUGGAGUCCUGAGGGGGAGAAGCCUGCCGUUCUGAAGGCUCGGGACUUCUGCCCCAAAGACUUCGCCGCCGAGAACUGCGGGUGCACUGCCUCAGGGAAGAAGUUGAGAAUUUUGCCAGGUCAUCUCUGCCAGGGCACAGUUCAUCACUGUGUGUUUAGUGUGUUUCGGUGAAGCUCUCCAAGUGUGUUGAAUCAGCGUGCCUAGCCUCAAGGGUGCAUCGUGAAAACUGAAACCAAAGGAAUGAUACAGGCCUGCUUUGUGUGUGUCUUCCCACUUUAAGCUUGUUUUCAGUACAAAUACUCUUGCUUUAAACCUGAUUGGACUGUGGCGAGCGGACAUCUGUUCAAAGGAGGGGCCGAGACCACAGUACUUCUGAAGGGGGCUUGAUAAUGUGGAAACAUUUUAAGUUUUCUCUCCGGACUGUUUUGCUCUCUCAAUUCAGGCAAGUUACUGAAGUACGUUUUUUAUCUAGAAAAAGGUUUGAUGUAGUCUGUAAAUGGUCCUUGUAAAGUACAUUGCCAUCUCAGAAUUAAAAGAUCCACUCUCAUUUAUUAUGCAGAA